rnacentral:rRNA from 1 species
GACGAACGCUGGCGGCGUGCUUAACACAUGCAAGUCGAACGGAAAGGCCCUGCUUUUGUGGGGUGCUCGAGUGGCGAACGGGUGAGUAACACGUGAGUAACCUGCCCUUGACUUUGGGAUAACUUCAGGAAACUGGGGCUAAUACCGGAUAGGAGCUCCUGCUGCAUGGUGGGGGUUGGAAAGUUUCGGCGGUUGGGGAUGGACUCGCGGCUUAUCAGCUUGUUGGUGGGGUAGUUGCUUACCAAGGCUUUGACGGGUAGCCGGCAUGAGAGGGUGACCGGCCACAUUGGGACUGAGAUACGGCCCAGACUCCUACGGGAGGCAGCAGUGGGGAAUAUUGCACAAUGGGCGGAAGCCUGAGGCAGCAACGCCGCGUGCGGGAUGACGGCCUUCGGGUUGUAAACCGCUUUCGCCUGUGACGAAGCGUGAGUGACGGUAAUGGGUAAAGAAGCACCGGCUAACUACGUG